GGUUAAGCGACUAAGCGUACACGGUGGAUGCCCUGGCAGUCAGAGGCGAUGAAGGACGUGCUAAUCUGCGAUAAGCGCCGGUAAGGUGAUAUGAACCGUUAUAACCGGCGAUUUCCGAAUGGGGAAACCCAGUGUGAUUCGUCACACUAUCAUUAACUGAAUCCAUAGGUUAAUGAGGCGAACCGGGGGAACUGAAACAUCUAAGUACCCCGAGGAAAAGAAAUCAACCGAGAUUCCCCCAGUAGCGGCGAGCGAACGGGGAGGAGCCCAGAGCCUGAAUCAGCAUGUGUGUUAGUGGAAGCGUCUGGAAAGGCGCGCGAUACAGGGUGACAGCCCCGUACACAAAAGCGCAUGUGCUGUGAGCUCGAUGAGUAGGGCGGGACACGUGGUAUCCUGUCUGAAUAUGGGGGGACCAUCCUCCAAGGCUAAAUACUCCUGACUGACCGAUAGUGAACCAGUACCGUGAGGGAAAGGCGAAAAGAACCCCGGCGAGGGGAGUGAAAAAGAACCUGAAACCGUGUACGUACAAGCAGUGGGAGCACCCUUCGGGGUGUGACUGCGUACCUUUUGUAUAAUGGGUCAGCGACUUAUAUUCUGUAGCAAGGUUAACCGUAUAGGGGAGCCGGAGGGAAACCGAGUCUUAAUUGGGCGUUAAGUUGCAGGGUAUAGACCCGAAACCCGGUGAUCUAGCCAUGGGCAGGUUGAAGGUUGGGUAACACUAACUGGAGGACCGAACCGACUAAUGUUGAAAAAUUAGCGGAUGACCUGUGGCUGGGGGUGAAAGGCCAAUCAAACCGGGAGAUAGCUGGUUCUCCCCGAAAGCUAUUUAGGUAGCGCCUCGUGAAUUCAUCUCCGGGGGUAGAGCACUGUUUCGGCUAGGGGGCCAUCCCGGCUUACCAACCCGAUGCAAACUGCGAAUACCGGAGAAUGUUAUCACGGGAGACACACGGCGGGUGCUAACGUCCGUCGUGAAGAGGGAAACAACCCAGACCGCCAGCUAAGGUCCCAAAGUCAUGGUUAAGUGGGAAACGAUGUGGGAAGGCCCAGACAGCCAGGAUGUUGGCUUAGAAGCAGCCAUCAUUUAAAGAAAGCGUAAUAGCUCACUGGUCGAGUCGGCCUGCGCGGAAGAUGUAACGGGGCUAAACCAUGCACCGAAGCUGCGGCAGCGAACGUAUCACUUAAAGCGAUUCAGCGGGUUACGAUUGACGGAGCGAAGCGACGUCAAAGCGUAUACAAAGUCGAGUCGGUUUAAGGAUACGUUCGUUGGGUAGGGGAGCGUUCUGUAAGCCUGUGAAGGUGGCCUGUGAGGGUUGCUGGAGGUAUCAGAAGUGCGAAUGCUGACAUAAGUAACGAUAAAGCGGGUGAAAAGCCCGCUCGCCGGAAGACCAAGGGUUCCUGUCCAACGUUAAUCGGGGCAGGGUGAGUCGACCCCUAAGGCGAGGCCGAAAGGCGUAGUCGAUGGGAAACGGGUUAAUAUUCCCGUACUUGGUGUUACUGCGAAGGGGGGACGGAGAAGGCUAUGUUGGCCGGGCGACGGUUGUCCCGGUUUAAGCGUGUAGGUGUGUGUUCCAGGUAAAUCCGGUUCACUUUAACACUGAGGCGUGACGACGAGGCACUACGGUGCUGAAGCAACAAAUGCCCUGCUUCCAGGAAAAGCCUCUAAGCAUCAGGUAACAUCAAAUCGUACCCCAAACCGACACAGGUGGUCAGGUAGAGAAUACCAAGGCGCUUGAGAGAACUCGGGUGAAGGAACUAGGCAAAAUGGUGCCGUAACUUCGGGAGAAGGCACGCUGACACGUAGGUGAAGUGAUUUACUCAUGGAGCUGAAGUCAGUCGAAGAUACCAGCUGGCUGCAACUGUUUAUUAAAAACACAGCACUGUGCAAACACGAAAGUGGACGUAUACGGUGUGACGCCUGCCCGGUGCCGGAAGGUUAAUUGAUGGGGUCAGCGCAAGCGAAGCUCCUGAUCGAAGCCCCGGUAAACGGCGGCCGUAACUAUAACGGUCCUAAGGUAGCGAAAUUCCUUGUCGGGUAAGUUCCGACCUGCACGAAUGGCGUAAUGAUGGCCAGGCUGUCUCCACCCGAGACUCAGUGAAAUUGAACUCGCUGUGAAGAUGCAGUGUACCCGCGGCAAGACGGAAAGACCCCGUGAACCUUUACUAUAGCUUGACACUGAACAUUGAGCCUUGAUGUGUAGGAUAGGUGGGAGGCUUUGAAGUGUGGACGCCAGUCUGCAUGGAGCCGACCUUGAAAUACCACCCUUUAAUGUUUGAUGUUCUAACGUGGACCCGUAAUCCGGGUUGCGGACAGUGUCUGGUGGGUAGUUUGACUGGGGCGGUCUCCUCCUAAAGAGUAACGGAGGAGCACGAAGGUUGGCUAAUCCUGGUCGGACAUCAGGAGGUUAGUGCAAUGGCAUAAGCCAGCUUGACUGCGAGCGUGACGGCGCGAGCAGGUGCGAAAGCAGGUCAUAGUGAUCCGGUGGUUCUGAAUGGAAGGGCCAUCGCUCAACGGAUAAAAGGUACUCCGGGGAUAACAGGCUGAUACCGCCCAAGAGUUCAUAUCGACGGCGGUGUUUGGCACCUCGAUGUCGGCUCAUCACAUCCUGGGGCUGAAGUAGGUCCCAAGGGUAUGGCUGUUCGCCAUUUAAAGUGGUACGCGAGCUGGGUUUAGAACGUCGUGAGACAGUUCGGUCCCUAUCUGCCGUGGGCGCUGGAGAACUGAGGGGGGCUGCUCCUAGUACGAGAGGACCGGAGUGGACGCAUCACUGGUGUUCGGGUUGUCAUGCCAAUGGCACUGCCCGGUAGCUAAAUGCGGAAGAGAUAAGUGCUGAAAGCAUCUAAGCACGAAACUUGCCCCGAGAUGAGUUCUCCCUGAGACUUAGAGUCUCCUGAAGGAACGUUGAAGACGACGACGUUGAUAGGCCGGGUGUGUAAGCGCAGCGAUGCGUUGAGCUAACCGGUACUAAUGAACCGUGAGGCUUAACCUU
rnacentral:rRNA from 1 species